UCCGGUUUGUCACCGGCAGUCCCACUAGAGUGCCCAACUGAAUGUAGCAACUAAUGGCGAGGGUUGCGCUCGUUGCGGGACUUAACCCAACAUCUCACGACACGAGCUGACGACAGCCAUGCAGCACCUGUGUUACGGCUCCCUUUCGGGCACACCCAGCUCUCGCUGGGCUUCCGUACAUGUCAAGGGUAGGUAAGGUUAUUCGCGUUGCAUCGAAUUAAUCCACAUCAUCCACCGCUUGUGCGGGUCCCCGUCAAUUCCUUUGAGUUUUAAUCUUGCGACCGUACUCCCCAGGCGGACAACUUCACGCGUUAGCUGCGGUACUGAGAAAUCAUCGUUUACAGUGCGGACUAC
rnacentral:misc_RNA from 1 species